rnacentral:lncRNA from 1 species
GACGGCGGAACGCUGUUCGCCCCACCGAGCUGUUGAUGCUGCCCAGUUGGUGAGGGUCUGCCUGAGUUGAUCCCGAAAGAUAUCUGCGACUGGUUCCCCACGUUUGAGAGGAUCGACUGGGGAGGAGCCCUCCCUUGCUGCUGAGGCAGGUGGUUCUUGGCGGCGGGGGAGUUGGCGUUCGGAGGGGGAGUUGACAUGGCGGCCGUUGAGCCGGUUCUAGCAGAGUUCUUCCACUGCCCCGACUGGGUGGGGUUGUUGUUGCCUUGGAUGAGCGCCUGGGGAAUGCCAGAGAGAGCAUUGGGGAGCUUGGACAUCGCCGCCCCACCUGGCAUCC